GAUGAACGCUGGCGGCGUGCCUAACACAUGCAAGUCGAACGGAGGUUAGUGCUUCGGUAUUAACCUUAGUGGCGAACGGGUGAGUAACGCGUGAGAAACCUGCCUUUCAGUGGGGGACAACAGUUGGAAACGACUGCUAAUACCGCAUAAUGUUAUUUAGGGGCAUCCCUGAGUAACCAAAGCUUUAUGUGCUGAAAGAUGGUCUCGCGUCUGAUUAGCUAGUUGGCGGGGUAACGGCCCACCAAGGCGACGAUCAGUAGCCGGUCUGAGAGGAUGAACGGCCACAUUGGGACUGAGAUACGGCCCAGACUCCUACGGGAGGCAGCAGUGGGGAAUAUUGGGCAAUGGGCGCAAGCCUGACCCAGCAACGCCGCGUGAAGGAAGAAGGCUUUCGGGUUGUAAACUUCUUUUGUCAGGGAAGAGUAGAAGACUGUACCUGGCGAAUAAGCCACGGCUAACUACGUG
rnacentral:rRNA from 1 species